GAUGAACGCUGGCGGCGUGCCUAAUACAUGCAAGUCGAGCGAACGGACGAGAAGCUUGCUUCUCUGAUGUUAGCGGCGGACGGGUGAGUAACACGUGGAUAACCUACCUAUAAGACUGGGAUAACUUCGGGAAACCGGAGCUAAUACCGGAUAAUAUUUUGAACCGCAUGGUUCAAAAGUGAAAGACGGUCUUGCUGUCACUUAUAGAUGGAUCCGCGCUGCAUUAGCUAGUUGGUAAGGUAACGGCUUACCAAGGCAACGAUGCAUAGCCGACCUGAGAGGGUGAUCGGCCACACUGGAACUGAGACACGGUCCAGACUCCUACGGGAGGCAGCAGUAGGGAAUCUUCCGCAAUGGGCGAAAGCCUGACGGAGCAACGCCGCGUGAGUGAUGAAGGUCUUCGGAUCGUAAAACUCUGUUAUUAGGGAAGAACAUAUGUGUAAGUAACUGUGCACAUCUUGACGGUACCUAAUCAGAAAGCCACGGCUAACUACGUGCCAGCAGCCGCGGUAAUACGUAGGUGGCAAGCGUUAUCCGGAACUAUUGGGCGUAAGCGCGCGUAGCGGUUUUUUAGUCUGAUGUGAAAGCCCACGGCUCAACCGUGGAGGGUCAUUGGAAACUGGAAAACUUGAGUGCAGAAGAGGAAAGUGGAAUUCCAUGUGUAGCGGUGAAAUGCGCAGAGAUAUGGAGGAACACCAGUGGCGAAGGCGACUUUCUGGUCUGUAACUGACGCUGAUGUGCGAAAGCGUGGGGAUCAAACAGGAUUAGAUACCCUGGUAGUCCACGCCGUAAACGAUGAGUGCUAAGUGUUAGGGGGUUUCCGCCCCUUAGUGCUGCAGCUAACGCAUUAAGCACUCCGCCUGGGGAGUACGACCGCAAGGUUGAAACUCAAAGGAAUUGACGGGGACCCGCACAAGCGGUGGAGCAUGUGGUUUAAUUCGAAGCAACGCGAAGAACCUUACCAAAUCUUGACAUCCUUUGACAACUCUAGAGAUAGAGCUUUCCCCUUCGGGGGACAAAGUGACAGGUGGUGCAUGGUUGUCGUCAGCUCGUGUCGUGAGAUGUUGGGUUAAGUCCCGCAACGAGCGCAACCCUUAAGCUUAGUUGCCAUCAUUAAGUUGGGCACUCUAAGUUGACUGCCGGUGACAAACCGGAGGAAGGUGGGGAUGACGUCAAAUCAUCAUGCCCCUUAUGAUUUGGGCUACACACGUGCUACAAUGGACAAUACAAAGGGCAGCGAAACCGCGAGGUCAAGCAAAUCCCAUAAAGUUGUUCUCAGUUCGGAUUGUAGUCUGCAACUCGACUACAUGAAGCUGGAAUCGCUAGUAAUCGUAGAUCAGCAUGCUACGGUGAAUACGUUCCCGGGUCU
rnacentral:rRNA from 1 species